rnacentral:rRNA from 1 species
UACGUAGGGUGCAAGCGUUGUCCGGAAUUAUUGGGCGUAAAGAGCUCGUAGGCGGUCUGUCGCGUCUGCUGUGAAAACUCGGGGCUUAACCCCGGGCCUGCAGUGGGUACGGGCAGACUAGAGUGCGGUAGGGGAGACUGGAAUUCCUGGUGUAGCGGUGGAAUGCGCAGAUAUCAGGAGGAACACCAAUGGCGAAGGCAGCUCGCUGGGACGUGACUGACGCUGAGGCGCGAAAGCGUGGGGAGCAAACAGG